rnacentral:rRNA from 1 species
UACGAAGGGGGCUAGCGUUGCUCGGAAUUACUGGGCGUAAAGGGCGCGUAGGCGGAUCGUUAAGUCAGGGGUGAAAUCCCAGAGCUCAACUCUGGAACUGCCUUUGAUACUGGCGAUCUUGAGUAUGAGAGAGGUAUGUGGAACUCCGAGUGUAGAGGUGAAAUUCGUAGAUAUUCGGAAGAACACCAGUGGCGAAGGCGACAUACUGGCUCAUUACUGACGCUGAGGCGCGAAAGCGUGGGGAGCAAACAGG